CACCGCGGUGAUACGAAAGGCCCAAGCUGACAGCCCACGGCGUAAAGCGUGGUUAGGGUAAAUAAAAUUUAAAGCCGAACACCCCUCAGGCCGUUAAAAGCACACAAGGACAUGAAGCCCACCGACGAAAGUAGCUUUACACACCCUGAACCCACGAAAGCUAAGAAA
rnacentral:rRNA from 1 species